rnacentral:rRNA from 1 species
CCUACGGGUGGCAGCAGUGGGGAAUAUUGGACAAUGGGCGAAAGCCUGAUCCAGCCAUGCCGCGUGUGUGAAGAAGGCCUUCGGGUUGUAAAGCACUUUCAGUGGGGAAGAAAGCCUUGGGGCUAAUACCCUCGAGGAAGGACAUCACCCACAGAAGAAGCACCGGCUAACUCCGUGCCAGCAGCCGCGGUAAUACGGAGGGUGCGAGCGUUAAUCGGAAUUACUGGGCGUAAAGCGCGCGUAGGCGGUCUGAUAAGCCGGUUGUGAAAGCCCCGGGCUCAACCUGGGAACGGCAUCCGGAACUGUCAGGCUAGAGUGCAGGAGAGGAAGGUAGAAUUCCCGGUGUAGCGGUGAAAUGCGUAGAGAUCGGGAGGAAUACCAGAGGCGAAGGCGGCCUUCUGGACUGACACUGACGCUGAGGUGCGAAAGCGUGGGUAGCAAACAGGAUUAGAUACCCGAGUAGUC